rnacentral:rRNA from 1 species
CCUACGGGAGGCAGCAGUGGGGAAUUUUGGACAAUGGGCGCAAGCCUGAUCCAGCAAUGCCGCGUGCAGGAUGAAGGCCUUCGGGUUGUAAACUGCUUUUGUACGGAACGAAAAGACUCUCUC